rnacentral:rRNA from 1 species
GAUGAACGCUGGCUACAGGCUUAACACAUGCAAGUCGAGGGGAAACGCCGGGGAAGCUUGCUUCCCCGGGCGUCGACCGGCGCACGGGUGAGUAACGCGUAUCCAACCUGCCUCUGACUGAGGGAUAACCCGUCGAAAGUCGGCCUAAUACCUCAUGGUAUCGUCUGCGGGCAUCCAACGACGAUUAAAGAUUUCAUCGGUCAGGGAUGGGGAUGCGUCUGAUUAGCUUGUUGGCGGGGUAACGGCCCACCAAGGCUACGAUCAGUAGGGGUUCUGAGAGGAAGGUCCCCCACAUUGGAACUGAGACACGGUCCAAACUCCUACGGGAGGCAGCAGUGAGGAAUAUUGGUCAAUGGGCGAGAGCCUGAACCAGCCAAGUAGCGUGCAGGAAGACGGCCCUAUGGGUUGUAAACUGCUUUUAGGCGGGGAUAAAGUGAGGGACGGGUCCCUCAUUGCAGGUACCGCAUGAAUAAGGACCGGCUAAUUCCGUG